UGCGUAGGUGGCUUGAAAAGUUUGAUGUGAAAGCUCAGGGCUUAACCCUGAAAUGGCAUUGAAUACUGUCGGGCUGGAGGUUUGGAGGGGGGACGUGGAAUUCUUGGUGUAGCAGUGAAAUGCGUAGAUAUCAAGAGGAACACCAGUGGCGAAGGCGAGUCCCUGGACAACACCUGACACUGAGGCACGAAAGCUAGGGAGGCAAACA
rnacentral:rRNA from 1 species